rnacentral:lncRNA from 1 species
CCUGUCUGAGACUUGAAUACCAUAUAAUAUCCUGUUUGCUUGGUUCGGUAUUUCUACUUCGCACCAUCAAGUUAUUUAAUAUUGUGAAAUGGUUAUUUGUUGUUUUCCUGGCGUUUAUUUUCGAUUAUGGGCUUUGUCUAUAUAGUGUUUAUUUGCCAUAUCACAAACGUCUUAUUUAACCAUUUUCAAAAAAUCAAUCAUGAAAAUUUAAAGCCAUCUAAAUUUGAAGCUUUAUUGGAAAAAAGAAUGUUUAAAAUUGUUCAAUCAAAAUCUAAGAAAAUCUCUGUCCGUCAUACCUAUUUUUGCCAAUGUAGUUUCACAGACGAUUCAAAACGUAAAUAUUACUUUUACUGUUGGAUUUUUUUAUGAGAUAUCCAUUUAACGUGGCUCGGUACUUAAACAUGCCGUCAAUGUGUGUUUUAUUAUUCAUUUUUUACUGGUGUGUUUUGUAUAUGCGAUUUUUUGUGUUUCUUUGGUUCUUAUAACGUGACUCUGUACUUUAAAAUAUCCCGUCAGUAUUAUCAGUUAUUGUUCUAUAAUAUGUCACUAUGAUAUAUUUCUAAUAUGAAUUAGAAAAAAAACGUUGAACCACAAACGUCAAAAUUAUUCAACCACGUAGUGGAAUGAACUAUUUGUGGAUUUUUAUAAAUUCCAUAGAACUUUUGACUAUUUUAAAUCUC